rnacentral:rRNA from 1 species
CCUACGGGAGGCAGCAGUAGGGAAUAUUGCUCAAUGGGGGAAACCCUGAAGCAGCAACGCCGCGUGGAGGAUGAAGGUUUUCGGAUCGUAAACUCCUUUCGUUAGAGAAGAUAAUGACGGUAUCUAACGAAUAAGCACCGGCUAACUCCGUGCCAGCAGCCGCGGUAAUACGGAGGGUGCAAGCGUUACUCGGAAUCACUGGGCGUAAAGAGCGCGUAGGCGGGAUAGCAAGUCAGAUGUGAAAUCCUAUGGCUUAACCAUAGAACUGCAUUUGAAACUGUUAUUCUAGAGUAUGGGAGAGGUAGGUGGAAUUCUUGGUGUAGGGGUAAAAUCCGUAGAGAUCAAGAGGAAUACUCAUUGCGAAGGCGACCUGCUAGAACAUAACUGACGCUGAUGCGCGAAAGCGUGGGGAGCAAACAGGAUUAGAUACCCCUGUAGUC